CCAAUAGCGUAUAUUAAAGUUGUUGCAGUUAAAAAGCUCGUAGUUGAAUUUCGAGACCGGUUUACUGGUCGUGCUUUUGUACGUACUGGUAUUAUUGGUUUCUCCUUUCUGACGAAUCAUAAUGCCAUUAAUUUGGUGUUUUGGGGAAUCAGGACUGUUACUCUGAAAAAAUUAGAGUGUUUAAAGCAGGCUCACGCUUGAAUACAUUAGCAUGGAAUAACGAAAUAGGACGUUUGAUUUUAUUUUGUUGGUUUCUAGGAUCGACGUAAUGAUUAAUAGGGAUAGUUGGGGGCAUUAGUAUUCAAUUGUCAGAGGUGAAAUUCUUGGAUUUAUUGAAGACUAACUACUGCGAAAGCAUUUGCCAAGGAUGUUUUCAUUAAUCAAGAACGAAAGUUAGGGGAUCGAAGACGAUCAGAUACCGUCGUAGUCGUAACCAUAAACUAUGCCGACUAGGGAUCGGAUGAUGUUAAUUUUUUAAUGACUCAUUCGGCGCCUUACG
rnacentral:rRNA from 1 species